GCGGGGGUUCCCAAGUGGCCAAAGGGGCAGGACUGAGGCUUCUGUGUGCGUAAGCCUUCGAGGGUUCGAAUCCCUUCCCUCGCA
rnacentral:tRNA from 1 species